rnacentral:rRNA from 1 species
GACGAACGCGGGCGGCGUGCCUAAUACAUGCAAGUAGAACGCUGAAGGAGGAGCUUGCUCUUCUGGAUGAGUUGCGAACGGGUGAGUAACGCGUAGGUAACCUGCCUGGUAGCGGGGGAUAACUAUUGGAAACGAUAGCUAAUACCGCAUAAGAGUAGAUGUUGCAUGACAUUUACUUAAAAGGUGCAAUUGCAUCACUACCAGAUGGACCUGCGUUGUAUUAGCUAGUUGGUGGGGUAACGGCUCACCAAGGCGACGAUACAUAGCCGACCUGAGAGGGUGAUCGGCCACACUGGGACUGAGACACGGCCCAGACUCCUACGGGAGGCAGCAGUAGGGAAUCUUCGGCAAUGGACGGAAGUCUGACCGAGCAGCGCCGCGUGAGUGAAGAAGGUUUUCGGAUCGUAAAGCUCUGUUGUAAGAGAAGAACGAGUGUGAGAGUGGAAAGUUCACACUGUGACGGUAUCUUACCAGAAAGGGACGGCUAACUACGUGCCAGCAGCCGCGGUAAUACGUAGGUCCCGAGCGUUGUCCGGAUUUAUUGGGCGUAAAGCGAGCGCAGGCGGUUAGAUAAGUCUGAAGUUAAAGGCUGUGGCUUAACCAUAGUACGCUUUGGAAACUGUUUAACUUGAGUGCAAGAGGGGAGAGUGGAAUUCCAUGUGUAGCGGUGAAAUGCGUAGAUAUAUGGAGGAACACCGGUGGCGAAAGCGGCUCUCUGGCUUGUAACUGACGCUGAGGCUCGAAAGCGUGGGGAGCAAACAGG